AGUGAACGCUGGCGGUAGGCCUAACACAUGCAAGUCGAACGGCAGCACAGUAAGAGCUUGCUCUUACGGGUGGCGAGUGGCGGACGGGUGAGGAAUACAUCGGAAUCUACUUUUUCGUGGGGGAUAACGUAGGGAAACUUACGCUAAUACCGCAUACGACCUACGGGUGAAAGCAGGGGAUCUUCGGACCUUGCGCGAUUGAAUGAGCCGAUGUCGGAUUAGCUAGUUUGCGGGGUAAAGGCCCACCAAGGCGACGAUCCGUAGCUGGUCUGAGAGGAUGAUCAGCCACACUGGAACUGAGACACGGUCCAGACUCCUACGGGAGGCAGCAGUGGGGAAUAUUGGACAAUGGGCGCAAGCCUGAUCCAGCCAUACCGCGUGGGUGAAGAAGGCCUUCGGGUUGUAAAGCCCUUUUGUUGGGAAAGAAAAGCAGCAGGUUAAUACCCCGCUGUUCUGACGGUACCCAAAGAAUAAGCACCGGCUAACUUCGUG
rnacentral:rRNA from 1 species